rnacentral:misc_RNA from 1 species
GAACUGCCUGCUCAAACUCGUGGUAAGUUCCUUUUCAAUUGAUGAUUCUUUUGCAGUCCAUCUUUCGUGUUAUUGCUUAGCUUAUGGUUGCCUUAUUCAUGCCAUUAACAAUUUGUGUUGAAAAAAAUUGUUAUUCUUGGACACACACAAUGUGUUGCUCCAUUUCCUUGACAUUAGAGCUCUUGAACUAGGAAGUAGACAAAUUUUCAAACACUUGCUUCAUAACUCUCGAAACACAUCUCAUUUCUCUUUUGGUUUCCAUUUUUAAUAGGUAGUACUAAUAAUGAGUUUUUACUUUUUUGUUUAAUUAUUUUUUAGUUCUUUAGAAAAAGAUUUAUAUAUUUAUUUAUUUU